CAGCCUUCAGAACCGGGUUAACAUGACCUCAAUAACAGCCCAGUCCAUCAAUUCAGUUGUUAAAUAGGUAGGCCAGCCUUCAGAACUGGUUAACAUGACCUCAAUAACAGCCCAGUCCAUCAAUUCAGUUAUUAAAUAGGUAGGCCAGCCUUCAGAACCGGUUAACAUGACCUCAAUAACAGCCCAGUCCAUCAAUUCAGUUAUUAAAUAGGUAGGCCAGCCUUCAGAACCGGUUAACAUGACCUCAAUAACAGCCCAGUCCAUCAAUUCAGUUAUUAAAUAGGUAGGCCAGCCUUCAGAACCGGUUAACAUGACCUCAAUAACAGCCCAGUCCAUCAAUUCAGUUAUUAAAUAGGUAGGCCAGCCUUCAGAACUGGGUUAACAUGACCUCAAUAACAGCCCAGUCCAUCAAUUCAGUUAUUAAAUAGGUAGGCCAGCCUUCAGAACCGGUUAACAUGACCUCAAUAACAGCCCAGUCCAUCAAUUCAGUUAUUAAAUAGGUAGGCCAGCCUUCAGAACUGGGUUAACAUGACCUCAAUAACAGCCCAGUCCAUCAAUUCAGUUAUUAAAUAGGUAGGCCAGCCUUCAGAACCGGUUAACAUGACCUCAAUAACAGCCCAGUCCAUCAAUUCAGUUAUUAAAUAGGUAGG